UCCUAAUCAGGCGUAAAGGGUGUGUAGGCUGCUUUCAAAAUCCUAUCUUUCAAAUAGCUCUUAUAACGAAGAUCUGUUUAAAGGCAGUUAUCUUCAUUCUAAGGUAAUGAUAGGACGAAUAAAAGCUAGAAUCAAAACGAGGAUAAGCCAAAUAAUGCUUAGAGUAGGGAUGAUAUCCUCAGAUACUAAGUGGAAUACUAAAAGUGAAAACUAUUUAUCUAGAAAUGAUUGACGCUGAGAAACGAAGGUGAGAAUAGGAAAUAGGAUUAGAUACCCAGAUACCUCUCACUGUCAAC
rnacentral:rRNA from 1 species